rnacentral:rRNA from 1 species
GACGAACGCUGGCGGCGUGCUUAACACAUGCAAGUCGAACGGAAAGGCCCUGCUUUUGUGGGGUGCUCGAGUGGCGAACGGGUGAGUAACACGUGAGUAACCUGCCCUUGACUUUGGGAUAACUUCAGGAAACUGGGGCUAAUACCGGAUAGGAGCUCCUGCUGCAUGGUGGGGGUUGGAAAGUUUCGGCGGUUGUGGAUGGACUCGCGGCUUAUCAGCUUGUUGGUGGGGUAGUGGCUUACCAAGGCUUUGACGGGUAGCCGGCCUGAGAGGGUGACCGGCCACAUUGGGACUGAGAUACGGCCCAGACUCCUACGGGAGGCAGCAGUGGGGAAUAUUGCACAAUGGGCGGAAGCCUGAUGCAGCAACGCCGCGUGCGGGAUGACGGCCUUCGGGUUGUAAACCGCUUUCGCCUGUGACGAAGCGUGAGUGACGGUAAUGGGUAAAGAAGCACCAGCUAACUACGUG